ACGUAGGGUGCAAGCGUUAAUCGGAAUUACUGGGCGUAAAGCGCACGUAGGCUGUGCGGCAAGUCAGUGGUGAAAUCCCGAGGCUUAACCUCGGAACUGCCAUUGAAACUGUCGUGCUAGAAUCUCAGAGGGGAUAGCGGAAUUCCAAAUGUAGGGGUGAAAUCCGUAGAUAUUUGGAGGAACACCGGUGGCGAAGGCGGCUAUCUGGAUGAGUAUUGACGCUGAGGUGCGAAAGCGUGGGGAUCAAACAGGA
rnacentral:rRNA from 1 species